CGCUGAAGAGAGGAGCUUGCUCUUCUUGGAAGAGUUGCGAACGGGUGAGUAACGCGUAGGUAACCUGCCUUGUAGCGGGGGAUAACUAUUGGAAACGAUAGCUAAUACCGCAUAACAAUGGGUGACCCAUGUCAUUCAUUUGAAAGGGGCAACUGCUCCACUACAAGAUGGACCUGCGUUGUAUUAGCUAGUAGGUGAGGUAACGGCUCACCUAGGCGACGAUACAUAGCCGACCUGAGAGGGUGAUCGGCCACACUGGGACUGAGACACGGCCCAGACUCCUACGGGAGGCAGCAGUAGGGAAUCUUCGGCAAUGGGGGCAACCCUGACCGAGCAACGCCGCGUGAGUGAAGAAGGUUUUCGGAUCGUAAAGCUCUGUUGUAAGUCAAGAACGAGUGUGAGAGUGGAAAGUUCACACUGUGACGGUAGCUUACCAGAAAGGGACGGCUAACUACGUGCCAGCAGCCGCGGUAAUACGUAGGUCCCGAGCGUUGUCCGGAUUUAUUGGGCGUAAAGCGAGCGCAGGCGGUUUGAUAAGUCUGAAGUUAAAGGCUGUGGCUCAACCAUAGUUCGCUUUGGAAACUGUCAAACUUGAGUGCAGAAGGGGAGAGUGGAAUUCCAUGUGUAGCGGUGAAAUGCGUAGAUAUAUGGAGGAACACCGGUGGCGAAAGCGGCUCUCUGGUCUGUAACUGACGCUGAGGCUCGAAAGCGUGGGGAGCGAAC
rnacentral:rRNA from 1 species